rnacentral:rRNA from 1 species
UAGUUGUCGGGUCUUAAUUGACUUGGUAACGCAGCUAACGCGUGAAGUAGACCGCCUGGGGAGUACGGUCGCAAGAUUAAAACUCAAAGGAAUUGACGGGGACCCGCACAAGCGGUGGAUGAUGUGGAUUAAUUCGAUGCAACGCGAAAAACCUUACCUACCCUUGACAUGUACAGAAUCCCGAAGAGAUUUGGGAGUGUUCGAAAGAAAACUGUAACACAGGUGCUGCAUGGCUGUCGUCAGCUCGUGUCGUGAGAUGUUGGGUUAAGUCCCGCAACGAGCGCAACCCUUGUCAUUAGUUGCUACGAAAGGGCACUCUAAUGAGACUGCCGGUGACAAACCGGAGGAAGGUGGGGAUGACGUCAAGUCCUCAUGGCCCUUAUGGGUAGGGCUUCACACGUCAUACAAUGGUACAUACAGAGGGCCGCCAACCCGCGAGGGGGAGCUAAUCCCAGAAAGUGUAUCGUAGUCCGGAUUGUAGUCUGCAACUCGACUACAUGAAGUUGGAAUCGCUAGUAAUCGCGGAUCAGCAUGUCGCGGUGAAUACGUUCCCGGGUCUUGCACUCACCGCCCGUCA